UAUCGUGCGGCAAAUGUUGUGUAACAGAUCAAUUAUUAUAAGAUAUGGUACAAAGAAAUAAAAUAAAAAAUGCCAGAACUGUGGCGUAGAAUGUUUCAUAUCAUCUGCACAGAUUGCUAUGGAAUGAAUUAACAAACAAAAUAAGAUUGUCAUCAGCUGCUACAACAGUAUAAGCUAGCUGAUAACCGAGGGGGACCAAAGAUAUAACUUCUACAUGAAAAAUUGAUGACAUCAGUGGAUUUAAUCGGUCAUUUUUUAGUUAUUAGGAAUCUAGAUGUCUAAUAUAAAAGAUAACAAAUAAAAUGCUUCGCAUAUACGUCACAUUGACGCAGUUUUCAAAUCCAUCAAUAAUGAAUGAGCAAAUCACAUUGCGUGACUGAUUUUUUACAUGUCACUGAACUGACAAUGUGUUGAGAUUUUUAUUGUUGUUUUUCUCAAAUGACGUAUAUUAUACCAGUUGGCCAUGAAUUGAUAAAAUUGCAUAAUUGUGUCAUUGCAAUUGAAAUAUCAGGUUUUGUUUACUUGAGUGAAAGCUCAGUAUUGGUAAACUUACCUAGCGGUAAAUCGAGAAGAAGACAACAGGCAGCGAUAGCUCCAGCAGAAGCUCCACUAAUUUUAUCGAGAAGUAAAUGAGGCGCGUAUUUUUUAAAACAAACUGCGACCCCGACGUGAUAUAUGCCGAGGAAGCCACAUCCAGCAAA